rnacentral:rRNA from 1 species
UACGUAGGGUGCAGGCGUUAAUCGGAAUUACUGGGCGUAAAGCGUGCGCAGGCGGUUUGCUAAGACAGGUGUGAAAUCCCCGGGCUUAACCUGGGAACUGCGCUUGUAACUGGCAAGCUAGAGUGUGGCAGAGGGGGGUGGAAUUCCAGAUGUAGCAGUGAAAUGCGUAGAGAUCUGGAGGAACACCGAUGGCGAAGGCAGCCCCCUGGGCUAACACUGACGCUCAUGCACGAAAGCGUGGGGAGCAAACAGG